ensembl:lncRNA novel transcript
GAUAAUUUAUAGACUAAGCUAUAACUCAUGUGCCUUUACUAUUUCUAGUUACAGAGAAUCUGUAUUCUGAUUCAAAACAGAUUUACAAAAUACUUCUACAACUAAUUUCUCAUUGUCUAGUAGCAACUGAAAAUGACACUUUGAAGGGGUGUGCUUUGCACAGCUGUGGCAGAAAUGUAAUGUCAAGGCAGUCAGUGUUUUAACAGGUCCCGAAGAUCCCUGAAAAUAGGUGACUGUAAAUAUGCUUAUUAUUCCUAGGUAAUGACAAGAUUGGUUUUGUUUUUGUUUUUGUUUUGAGAUGGAGUUUCGCUCUUGUUGCGGUGAGCCAAGAUCGUGCCACUGCACUCCAGCCUAGGCGACAGAAUGAAACUCCAUCUCAAAAAAAAAGAUGUAGAACUAGAUAGGCCUGCUCAUUAGAAUAUCAAGAUGGCUCCAGCUUGACUUUUCUUUCCUAAUUUAUAUGUACUAGUGGCUUUAUUUUAAAUAGUUUCCUUUGAAAAUAAUCAUUUUGACCAGCUAUUAUGUGUUUGGUGGUAAGGGACAAGUUGUUAUCUGUACCAUGCCAAAUAUCCUAAUAAAAACUGGAAAACAUGUCCAA